GACGAACGCUGGCGGCGUGCUUAACACAUGCAAGUCGAACGGUAAGGCCCUUCGGGGUACACGAGUGGCGAACGGGUGAGUAACACGUGGGUGAUCUGCCCUGCACUUCGGGAUAAGCCUGGGAAACUGGGUCUAAUACCGGAUAGGACUCCGGACUGCAUGGUCAGGGGUGGACAGCUUUUGCGGUGUGGGGUGGGCCCGCGGCCUAUCAGCUUGUUGGUGGGGUGAUGGCCUACCAAGGCGACGACGGGUAGCCGGCCUGAGAGGGUGACCGGCCACACUGGGACUGAGAUACGGCCCAGACUCCUACGGGAGGCAGCAGUGGGGAAUAUUGCACAAUGGGCGCAAGCCUGAUGCAGCGACGCCGCGUGAGGGAUGACGGCCUUCGGGUUGUAAACCUCUUUCAGCAUCGACGAAGCGAAAGUGACGGUAGGUGCAGAAGAAGGACCGGCCAACUACGUGCCAGCCGCCGCCGUAA
rnacentral:rRNA from 1 species